CUUGAAUGAGAAUCUCCACUGUGCAUUUGCAGGCUCUUGAGCAAUUUCUCCCAGGGAAGUAAAGACAGACAUCGUAUUAUAUGUGUUCUCCUUGGAGUAAAGAAAAUUUAAAUUAUUCACCUGGGUUACAGAUAUGGAUGGCCUUCCUUGCUGCAGAAAGAAUUUCCAGAUAGUGUCUUGGAGAAUGUAUCUGCACUUAUAAGUAUCUACUUCCUGAGAGAUGAAAUGAAACCUCCAGUAAAUGCAAAAAUUUAUUUGAUUUUAAAGUAACCCUAGGGCAGGAGAGGUAAAAUCUUCAUUCCACAAAAAAAUAAAGUUAAAACAUUCAGGUAAGCUUUUCUGUUCAGGGACUUUUUACCAACCUGUAAGCCUCAAAGGCUUCUUCUUCUUCUUCUUCUUCUUUUUUUUUAAUCUAAGUAGUAGCAGUUGGUAUAAUUAAGGAUGUUUAUCUCACCUUUUAAAGUCUUGUCUGCUACUAUUAUUAGACCAGUACAACAAUUAACUAACACAGAAUUAUGGAAAAAUAGUGCUCAGAAUGGCACUUCAGAGGCACACAGACGAGAAUACCUGCG
ensembl:lncRNA